rnacentral:rRNA from 1 species
CCUACGGGUGGCAGCAGUGGGGAAUAUUGGACAAUGGGCGAAAGCCUGAUCCAGCCAUGCCGCGUGUGUGAAGAAGGCCUUCGGGUUGUAAAGCACUUUCAGUGGGGAAGAAAGCCUUGGGGCUAAUACCCUCGAGGAAGGACAUCACCCACAGAAGAAGCACCGGCUAACUCCGUGCCAGCAGCCGCGGUAAUACGGAGGGUGCGAGCGUUAAUCGGAAUUACUGGGCGUAAAGCGCGCGUAGGCGGUCUGAUAAGCCGGUUGUGAAAGCCCCGGGCUCAACCUGGGAACGGCAUCCGGAACUGUCAGGCUAGAGUGCAGGAGAGGAAGGUAGAAUUCCCGGUGUAGCGGUGAAAUGCGUAGAGAUCGGGAGGAAUACCAGUGGCGAAGGCGGCCUUCUGGACUGACACUGACGCUGAGGUGCGAAAGCGUGGGUAGCAAACAGGAUUGAUACCCUGGUAGUC